AUGAACGCUGGCGGCGUGCCUAACACAUGCAAGUCGAACGGAGAAUACAUUUUGAAGCAAUUAGCUUGCUAAGAGUGGAAUGUUGUAUUCUUAGUGGCGGACGGGUGAGUAACGCGUGGAUAACCUGCCUCACACUGGGGGAUAACAGCGAGAAAUUGCUGCUAAUACCGCAUAAGCGCACAGCAUCGCAUGAUGGAGUGUGAAAAAACUAAGGUGAUGUGAGAUGGAUCCGCGUCUGAUUAGCUAGUUGGUAGGGUAAGAGCCUACCAAGGCGACGAUCAGUAGCCGGCCUGAGAGGGUGAACGGCCACAUUGGGACUGAGACACGGCCCAAACUCCUACGGGAGGCAGCAGUGGGGGAUAUUGCACAAUGGGGGAAACCCUGAUGCAGCGACGCCGCGUGAGUGAAGAAGUAUUUCGGUAUGUAAAGCUCUAUCAGCAGGGAAGAAAAUGACGGUACCUGACUAAGAAGCCCCGGCUAACUACGUGCCAGCCGCAGC
rnacentral:rRNA from 1 species